AGUGUUCCUAGAGGCCUUGCAGAUGUGGCUAAGGUGUCAGUCACAUCAGUAGGUGGCAGCAAGCAGAGAGGCUGUUAUCUUUGUUCAGUGCUCUGAACUAUGAGCAUCUGAAUGAUUAGAAGCCUAACAUU
ensembl:snoRNA